UACAGAGGGGGCAAGCGUUGUUCGGAAUUACUGGGCGUAAAGGGCGCGUAGGCGGCGUGCUAAGUCGGACGUGAAAUCCCCGGGCUCAACCCGGGAACUGCGUCCGAGACUGGCAGGCUUGAAUCCGGGAGAGGGAUGUGGAAUUCCAGGUGUAGCGGUGAAAUGCGUAGAUAUCUGGAGGAACAUCGGUGGCGAAGGCGGCAUCCUGGACCGGUAUUGACGCUGAGGCGCGAAAGCCAGGGGAGCAAACAGG
rnacentral:rRNA from 1 species